AGCAAGCUCAGUCCCAACCUGCACAGUCCCAGUUCCAGCAAGCUCAGUCCCAGUUCCAGCAAGCUCAGUCUCAGUCCCAGUCCCAGCCUACACAAGCUCAGUCCCAGCCUGCAAAAGCUCAAGCUCAAGCUCAUUCAAGCACCUUUAGACCAAAGUUCAAAACAUGGAAAUUGUAAUAUUAGGAUAUGUCACUUUAUUUUAGUUUAUGAUCAGUUUAUGAACAAUUUUAGUUGGUGUAUGAUCAAUUUAUGAUCACUUUUUGUUAGUCAAGCACUUUCUGUGAUUUUAUGAUCACUUUAUGUCAUUUUGUAUCACAUGAAACAAAAUUAUGGAUUAUGAAUGAAUUAUGCA
rnacentral:lncRNA from 1 species